rfam:Wigeon coronavirus HKT20, complete genome
CUGGGCUUGCAGCUAACCACUCCAUCAUUAUUAACACUGCAAGAAGGUUAAUAAUGACUCU